rnacentral:sRNA from 1 species
AGACUGGGUGCCUGUGGCCCUGGGAGGAGGUGGAAGGGGAGGAGCAGGCCACACAGGCACAGGCCGGUGAGGGACCUGCCCAGACCUGGAGAGUCUUGCUCUGUCACCCAGGCUGGAGUGCAGUGGUGUGAUCUUGGCUCAUUGUAACCUCCACCUCCCGGGUUCAAGUGAUUCUCAUGCCUCAGCCUCCCAAGUAGCUGGGAUUACAGGUGGUAACUUCCAAGAGUGACUCCGUGGGAGGAAAAUGACUGCCCAGUCGCUGCUGCAGAUGACGCUGUUCCUGCUGAGUCUGCUCUUCCUGGUCCAAGCCAGCGGAACCAGACACACAAGAGCAGCCUCCACUACAAAGCCACGCAAGACCUGCGCAUCUCCAUCGAGAACUCCGAGGAGGCCCUCACAGUCCAUGCCCCCUUCCCUGCGGCCCACCCUGCUUCUCGAUCCUUCCCUGACCCCAGGGGCCUCUACCACUUCUGCCUCUACUGGAACCGACAUGCUGGGAGAUUGCAUCUUCUCUAUGGCAAGCAUGACUUCUU